UCCUACGGGACGCAGCAGUGAGGAAUAUUGGUCAAUGGCCGAGAGGCUGAACCAGCCAAGUCGCGUGAGGGAUGACGGCCCUACGGGUUGUAAACCUCUUUUGUCGGGGAGCAAGACCCGCCUCGUGCAGGCGGAGCGAGAGUACCCGAAGAAAAAGCAUCGGCUAACUCCGUGCCAGCAGCCGCGGUAAUACGGAGGAUGCGAGCGUUAUCCGGAUAUAUUGGGUUUAAAGGGUGCGCAGGCGGACCAUCAAGUCAGCGGUAAAAUCGUGGGGCGCAACCCCAUCGCGCCGUUGAAACUGGCGG
rnacentral:rRNA from 1 species